rnacentral:rRNA from 1 species
GUGGCAGCGACGGGUAACGGGGAAUUAGGGUUCGAUUCCGGAGAGGGAGCCUGAGAAACGGCUACCACAUCUAAGGAAGGCAGCAGGCGCGCAAAUUACCCAAUGAAAACAGUUUCGAGGUAGUGACGAGAAAUAACAAUACAGAGCAUUUAAUGUUUUGUAAUUGGAAUGGUGGGAAUCUAAACCCCUUUCAGAGUAACAAUUGGAGGGAAAGUCUGGUGCCAGCAGCCGCGGUAAUUCCAGCUCCAAUAGCGUAUAUUUGAGUUGUUGCAGUUAAAAAGCUCGUAGUUGGAUUUCUGUUUUGUUUUUGUGUUUUCGCCUACUUAAAUGUGGGUGUUAUUUACAUAGAGACAGGACAUUCUCUUGAUGUUGCCUAUAUUUUUUAUUGUAUUUUAUUUGCCUUGGCUUAAUUGUCUGGGUUUUUAAAAUAUAUGGAUUGUGUAGGUAUAUAAAAAAAU